rnacentral:lncRNA from 1 species
GCGGCCCGUGACCGAGGUUUGGGGCGUCGACUGAACUCCUCUCAGACCAAUCGGAGUUUACGGGAAACUUUGUAAACAACUCUUACACGCCGAUUUAAAGCUCGACUGUUGUGUUUACUACGAAAAAGAUACCACGGUGCUGCAGCCGAGUGAUUCAAAAGUGCUAAAACAGGAGUGGGAGUUUGUCAGUGUGAUGUACUCAGGAGGGGAACACAGUUGGAAAUACCAGGAUGAAGUGAUUUUCUCCACACCUUUAGAACCUAAGUACACAUCAGUGGUCAUGUAAAUAUAAGCAUGGGAGGCUGGGACUGGUCACCAUGGCUGCCAAGAAAAUGGUGGAGACUCUUGUUGCAGAUGCCUUGUAGCAUUUCUUUUACAACUGUGAAAGAGCGACUGAUAUUCUUUUAGUGCUUAAACCUAACUGCACACUCUUUGAUACAUGAAACUGUCAACAAAGAAUAUCUGGAGUAAAGUUAAUGUUGCCAUAUCUGUAUACUUUGUAUGUGUCAAAACUACUAGAGAGAGAGAGAAAGAGGAGUUCUGGAAAUUCUGCAUGAGAAUCUGAUGUUUUGACAAAAGAAUUAAUUAGAGUAGACUCGUUUCUUUACAGUUUUGUUUCUGAUAAAAACACUAUUCCAAAGCAUAGUUUCUCACACAUAUCUUCUGCUUUGUAUGAAAAGUCAUCUUUGCUUCAAAAAGUACCAAUUGUGACUUCAACUUAAGUUCUUAGAACUUGUAACCAAGUUAUAUCUGUUAU